AAUAGUGAUAUCAUACUUUUUUCAUAUAAUUGAAAAACAUUAUUUAAUCACUGCUUCUGUUAAUGUUGUGGUCAAUAUCUGUUCUGUACUAACAUUUAAAUGUGUCUUCUUAAUGGAUAAAACAACCCUGUAACUCAGCAUAUUAUUUGAUAUAUUAUAGUUUGAGCCUCUGUAGUACAUAUUUAUAUUUCAGCAUACAGACAAGUUUAACACAAAAAAUAUACUGUGUUAUUUAGGUUAAACAGAAUGUAAAUAAAUCAUUGUAACUGAUGUCCUAACAGGACACACAGUUUCUAGGUUAUGGUGUUCCACCAGGUAACAUCUGUCAGUGAUGUGUUCAAGUCUUUAAUUUGUUUAAAGAACUUUAAAGCUCUCGGGAUUAUAGAUAUGCUGCUUUGAUGAUUGUAAGUUUGGAGUUUGUCAGCUGGUCUGACUAAUCAACAACAUGUAUUAUUGGGUUAGAAAUCAAUAUUAUCCCUGAUGGCAGGGAUCAAUAAUACACACAAAUGUUUAUUGGAAUGGAAGUCCCAUAGAAAAACAGCAGAACUCAAAUGAUGUUGUUCUGAAAAAAAACUUGUGGAUAAAGAUAGCAGGUAAGUUCUAUUUGUGGAUAAUGAUGAAAAGUCAGGUAUUUUGGUUGAUAAAGAUAGUAAGUCAGUUAUACCCUUGGUGGAUAAGGAUGGAUGUCAGGUAUAUUGGUGGAUAAGGAUGGAUGUCAGGUAUAUUGGUGGAUUAAUGAUAGAUGUCAGGUAUAGUGGUGGAUAAGGAUAGAUGUCAGGUAUAUUGGUGGAUAAGGAUGGAUGUCAGGUAUAUUGGUGGAUAAUGAUAGAUUGUCAGGUAUAUUGAUGGAUAAGGAAUUGGAUGUCAGGUAUGUUGGUGGAUAAUGAUAGAAUGUCAGGUAUAUUGGUGGAUAACGACAGAUGUGAGGUAUAUUGGUGGAUAAGGAUGGAUGUCAGGUAUAUUGGUGGAUAACGAUAGAAAGUCAGGUAUAUUUGUUGGUUAUGAUAGAAUGUCAAGUAUAUUGGUGGAUAAUGAUAGAAUGUCAGGUAUAUUGGUGGAUAAUGACAGAUGUGAGGUAUAUUGUUGGAUAAGGAUGGAUGUCAGGUAUAUUGGUGGAUAAUGAUAGAUGUCAGGUAUAUUGGUGGAAAAUGAUAGAAUAUAAGGUAUAUUGGUGGAUAGGGAUAGAUGUCAGAUAUAUUGGUGGAUAAUGAUAGAAUGUCAGGCAUAUUGGUUGAUAAUGAUAGGUCAGGUAUAUUGUGGAUAAUGAUUGAAUGUCUAGUGUAUUGCUGAAUAAUGAUAGAAUGUCUGGUAUAUUGGUGGAUAAUGAUAGAAUGUCAGGUAUAUUGGUAGAUAAGGUUAGAGGUCAGGCAUAUGGUGGAUAAGGAUGGAUGUCAGGUAUAUUGGUGGAUAAUGAUAGAGGUCAGGUAUAUUGGUGGAUAAUGAUAGAAAGUCAGGUAUAUUGGUGGAUAAUGAUAGAAUGUCAGUUAUAUUGGUGGAUAAGGAUGGAUGUCAGGUAUAUUGGUGGAUAAUGAUAGAAUGUCAGGUAUAUUGGUGGAUAAGGAUGGAUGUCGGGUAUAUUGGUGGAUAAUGAUAAAAUGUUAGGUAUAUUGGUAGAUAUAUAUUAUAAGGAUAGAUGUCAGGUAUAUUGGUGGAUAAUGAUAGAAAGUCCGGUAUAUUGGUGGAUAAUGAUAGAAUGUCAGGUAUAUUGGUAGAUAAGGAUAGAUAUCAGAUAUACUGGUGGAUAAGGAUGGAUGUCAGGUAUAUUGGUGGAUAAUGAUAGAAAGUCAGGUAUAUUUGUGGGUUAUGAUAGAAAGUCAGGUAUAUUGGUGGAUAAUGAUAGAAAGUCAGGUAUAUUUGUGGGUUAUGAUAGAAAGUCAGGUAUAUUGGUGGAUGAUGAUAGAAAGUCAGGUAUAUUUGUGGGUAAUGAUAGAAAGUCAGGUAUAUAUAUAGUUGGUAGAUAGGAUGGUUGUCAGGUAUAUUAUGGGAUCAGGAUGAAUGUCAGGUAUAUAUAUAUAUUGGUGGGUAAUGUUAGAAAGUCAGGUAUAUUAUUGGAUAAGGAUGGAUGUCAGGUAUAUUUUUGGGUAAUGAUAGAUAUAUUAUAGAAAGUCAGGUAUAUUGGUGGAUAAGGAUGGAUGUCAGGUAUAUUGGUGGAUAACGAUAGAAAGUCAGGUAUAUUUGUUGGUUAUGAUAGAAUGUCAAGUAUAUUGGUGGAUAAUGAUAGAAUGUCAGGUAUAUUGGUGGAUAAGGAUGGAUGUCAGGUAUAUUGGUGGAUAAUGAUAGAAUGUCUGGUAUAUUUGUGGAUACGGAUGGAUGUCGGGUAUAUUGGUGGAUAAUGAUAGAAUGUCAGGCAUAUUGGUGGAUAAUGAUAGAUGUCAGGCAUAUUGGUGGAUAAGGAUGAAUAUCAGGUAUAUUGAAGGAUAAUAAUAGAAAGUCAGUUAUAUUUUUGGUUAAUGAUAGAAUGUCAGGUAUAUUGGUGGAUAAGGAUGGAUGUCAGGUAUAUUUGGUGGUAAUGAUAGAAAGUCAGGUAUAUAGUUGGUAGAUAUGAUGGUUGUCAGGUAUACUAUUGGAUAAGGAUGAAUGUCAGGUAUGUUCUUGGUGGAUAAUAAUAGAAAGUCAGGUAUAUUAUUGGGUAAUGAUAGAAAGUCGGGUAUAUUUGUGGAUAAUGAUAGAAUAUCAGGUAUAUUUUUGGGUAAUGAUAGAA